GUGGCACGGACCCAGCACUGUCACAAGACCCUCAGCCUUUGCGACCUGCUAUUUUUGCCUGCCCGUCGUAGCCCUCAGUGCUGGGCCGCAGGGCACACCUGCCCUAACGCGGGAGCCUCGGCGAGGCCUGCGGGGAGUCAGUGCGGAGGACUUCGGAGAGCUGUCGGAGCCCGCUUUAGGAACAAAUAAGCAAUCGACAGAAUGAAAUGAAUGUACCAGUAGACAACGAAGGGCUGAAGCAGCAGCUCCUCGGGAGGCACCCGCACCCUUCUCCAGCACAGAAGCCUGAGACAUUUUCUCAGUGGUCAUGUCCAGCCAACAACCACAGCCAAGGUGUUUGGUGGAUGCAGCUCUUGCGCGUUUCUCAGCCACAGCAUUCCACUGCCGCUACAGAGUACUACAGACCCAACUGGAGACGGAUCCUUUCUGCUCUUCUGUGGAUCUGGUGUAGCCAGCAGGAGCAAAACUGAGUACCACUGUAUCUAAAGUCCCAAGAUCAGCAGGUCUUCCCAACACAC